rnacentral:ncRNA from 1 species
AUUAAGCCAUGCAUGUCUAUGUUCGUACCGUAUUACGGCGAAACUGCGAGUGACCCGUUAAAUCAGUUAUAGGUACUUCGAUGUAGAUUUCUACUUGGGUAACUAUGGGAAUUUUAGAGUUAAUAACAUGCAGCAGAGCUUCGACCCUCUGGGGACGAGCGGUUUUAUUAGAUAAAAAGCAGUCGGACUUCCUGUCCGUUACGUGGUGACUUUGUAUAACUUUAGGCUGAUCUCACGGGUUUGUCCCUUCAAAGUAUCUUUCCAAGUAUGUGCAUUAUCAGCUGUCGAUCGUAGGUUACGCGCCUGCCAAGGUUGUAAAGGAAGACGGAGAAUCAGGGUUCGAUUCCGGAGAGGGAAUCUGAGAAACGGAUACUAUAUCCAAGCUGCCUCAAGAUACUUAAUGGCG